UAAAGAAGUACAUUUAUUUUGAUGUUUUGACUAAUAUACAUGCAGUAUAUAUAUAUAUAUAUUGUGGAACAAAAUACAAGUCUCUUACACUAAUGUUAGCCUUUUUACACGUCUGAACUAUUUCUGAUCAUCAACGUCUGUAUGUCACAUCUUUAUCUCGGUCUUAAUUUGGUCUCCCUAGAAAAACCUAACCGAAACCUUUUGUUACCAUAUUCCUUCUUUCAGUUAUCAGUGUCCUAAAGGAUGAGUAAUUCACUGCAGAUGCUGCAAGCAGAACUAACACGGAGAACUAUGGUCUGUUCACUUGAUCUCCUCUCUUGUGUAAUUAGUGCUUGAUAUUUUGGAUGUGUUUGGACAUGUAACUCAGGGCUCAACACGAGUGAUUUUGGUGGCUUCUGCUUCUUUUGGAGCGAGCUCAGCUCUUCUUGUUCUUACGACACACAGUGCUUUGGAGCUCAAGCAGAGUUGAAGCACGUUCAUCCACCCAGGAGCCAGAUGAAGGACACAGAGAUCUCCGUGGAUCCUCAGCACUUCAGAAACAGCCCGUUUCACACAAGCACAAGCUGGCCCAGUCUCUAGAGGAUCUGGAACCUGAACUCGCUGCCAGACCGAGACUGAGAUUCACUAAACAGGAGAAACUCACAGGACUCCAGGCUGCACACUUCAGUCUACAAAUAGACCGGACGGACACUACUGAGCGCACCGCGAGACGAGAAGCACACACCAGAGCUACCAGAGGACCAGAAGUUGUGUAGCAGUCAGCCAGCCACUCACAUUACCAACACAGUCUGGCGGGGAAACUCAAACUGCUGUGAUCCCGCUAUACCUUGCUUUUGUCUUUUGGAGCUUUAAUACAUCAAGGCGAUCAAAAAUGGCUUGGCUAAAGCGGUGAACUGGAGAAGUGUAAAUGGGAAAACACCAAAUAAAAACAUUGUGAUUG